rnacentral:piRNA from 1 species
AGCCCAGAGCUUGGAACCACGGACUGGC